rnacentral:tRNA from 1 species
GCACCCGUAGCUCAGCUGGAUAGAGCGUCGCCCUCCGAAGGCGAAGGCCUCACGUUCGAAUCGGGUCGGGUGCGCCA